CCCCAAGAAGCUGAAUUAUGUCAGCUGGGAGAACAUUAGACUGAAGAUCUCAAGGUCCCUGGUUCAGUCCUGGGCUUGGGCA